AAUUAUCAAAGCCGCUACAAUGCUGAAUUGGAGUGGAUUUGGAAUGUGGGAGGUGCAGGCUUUCAUGUCAGCUCUCCUGAAAUGUAUUAGUUGAGAGCCCCUAUAAGUGCGGUUUAUUGGUGUGAUAAGACUUGUCAUCACCAGAGAAAAAAGUCGCAUUUGAAUGUGGCAGGUAGGCUAUGUACGGAAGGAGAUUGAUCA
rnacentral:misc_RNA from 1 species